UGGGGAAUCUUGCGCAAUGGGCGAAAGCCUGACGCAGCCAUGCCGCGUGAAUGAUGAAGGUCUUAGGAUUGUAAAAUUCUUUUAGCAGGGACGAUAAUGACGGUACCUGCAGAAAAAGCCCCGGCUAACUUCGUG
rnacentral:rRNA from 1 species